GAAUAGCAGAGGAACAAGACCACUGCCAGGACUAACUGCAAGGCUAAAAUGAGGAUGAAGAAGGAAAAUGAUGGAACACUUGUCGUAAAGGAGAUAUGAUGGGAACAUAACCACAGGCUAGUGGUCAGCCCCCAAAUGCUUGUCUUCUUGCACUCCCACAAAAACUUUGACAACACAAUCUUGGAGUACGUCAAGUACCUGUAGUUCAAAGGCAUAGAGCAUGAGUAAAUCAUGAGCAUACUGGGUGGCGAUGACCCUAGUGGCUACUUCAUCGAAAUGAACGCCAAAGACCCGAUUAACGCGAAAGCAAAGAAUUCAAGGAUGGAUGAUGUGGACGAUGUCCUAAAUACUAUCAACUUCUUUAUGGAGAUGAAAGCGAUAAACAAGGAAUUCUUCUACGACAUACAAGCGAACGGAAGCUGCCGAGGGGCAUACCAAGACUUUGGUGACUGCGUGACCUUUGACACCACAUAUAAGAACAACAAGUACCAUAUGCUACUUGGGGUGUUUAUAGGUACUAACAACCACUUGCAGACUACAUUCUUUGCUUUUGCCCUGAUAAAAGAUGAGGAUGCAGAUUCAUUCAGGUGUCUGUUCAAAACAUUUUUAAGGUGCAUGAGAGGGAAGGCUCCUACAUGCAUACUCACAGACCAGUGCCCGACAAUGGCGUUGGUGAUCCCAGAUGUUUUUGGGAACACAGUACAGAAGCUAUGCCGCUGGCACAUUAUGAAGAAGUACAGGGAACACCUCGCGUACCUGUACAACCUCCAUGAAACCUUUAAGGAUGAAUUCACAUCAAUCCUCAACUGGCCCCUCACGCCAACUGAGUUUGAGGCUGCCCGGAAAGCACCCAUGGAUAAGUAGAACCUCCAUGAUGAUGCCACGAUGGUGUCAAUGUGGAACGAGCGCGAGAAAUGGAUAUCAUCUUACUUCAAAGAAAUUUUCUGUGCCAAAAUGACAUCCACACAAUGGAGUGAGAGCAUGAACUAUGUGCUCAAGAAGAACUUCAUAAAUGAGAGAUAGAACCUGCACUGGUUUGUCAGCCAGGUAAACACCUGCAUCAAAACCAGGAGGCAGAAAGAGAACGAGGAGACAAUGGGUAACCGGGUAUAG
rnacentral:rRNA from 1 species